UACGUAGGGGGCUAGCGUUGUCCGGAAUCAUUGGGCGUAAAGAGCGCGUAGGCGGCCUGCUAAGUCGAACGUGAAAUCCCUGGGCUCAACCCAGGAACUGCGUCCGAUACUGGUUGGCUUGAAUCCGGGAGAGGGACGUGGAAUUCCAGGUGAUAGCGGUGAAAUGCGUAGAUAUCUGGAGGAACACCGGUGGCGAAGGCGACGUCCUGGACCGGCACUGACGCUGAGGCGCGAAAGCCAGGGGGAGCAAACGGG
rnacentral:rRNA from 1 species